UACGGAGGGGGCUAGCGUUGUUCGGAAUUACUGGGCGUAAAGCGCGCGUAGGCGGCUUUGCAAGUCGGGUGUGAAAUCCCCAGGCUUAACCUGGGAACUGCAUUCGAGACUGCAUUGCUAGAGUAUGGGAGAGGGAAGUGGAAUUUCCGGUGUAGCGGUGAAAUGCGUAGAUAUCGGAAGGAACAUCAGUGGCGAAAGCGACUUCCUGGCCCAAUACUGACGCUCAUGUGCGAAAGCGUGGGGAGCAAACAGG
rnacentral:rRNA from 1 species